rnacentral:rRNA from 1 species
GACGAACGCUGGCGGCGUGCUUAACACAUGCAAGUCGAACGCUGAAGCUCAGCUUUUGUUGGGUGGAUGAGUGGCGAACGGGUGAGUAACACGUGAGUAACCUGCCCCCUUCUUUGGGAUAACGCCCGGAAACGGGUGCUAAUACUGGAUAUUCACUGGUCUUCGCAUGGGGGUUGGUGGAAAGGGUUUUUCUGGUGGGGGAUGGGCUCGCGGCCUAUCAGCUUGUUGGUGGGGUGAUGGCCUACCAAGGCUUUGACGGGUAGCCGGCCUGAGAGGGUGACCGGUCACAUUGGGACUGAGAUACGGCCCAGACUCCUGCGGGGGGCAGAAGUGGGGAAUAUUGCACAAUGGGCGCAAGCCUGAUGCAGCGACGCCGCGUGAGGGAUGGAGGCCUUCGGGUUGUGAACCUCUUUCGCUCAUGGUCAAGCCGCAACAAUGGUUGUGGUGAGGGUAGUGGGUAAAGAAGCGCCGGCUAACUACGUG